CCUACGGGAGGCAGCAGUGAGGAAUAUUGGUCAAUGGGAGAGAUCCUGAACCAGCCAAGCCGCGUGAGGGAAGACGGCUCUAUGGGUUUUAAACCUCUUUUGUCGGAGAACAAAACCCGGGACGUGUCCCGGACUGCGUGUAUCCGUAGAAAACGCAUCGGCUAACUCCGUGCCAGCAGCCGCGGUAAUACGGAGUUGGCGAGCGUUAUCCGGUUUUAUUGGGUUUAAUGGGUGCGUAGGCGGUCCGUUAAGUCAGCGGUAAAAUUGCGGGGCUAAACCCCGUCGAGCCGUUGAAACUGGCAGACUUGAGUUGGCGAGAAGUACGCGGAAUUCGCGGUGUAGCGGUGAAAUGCAUAGAUAUCGCGCAGAACUCCGAGUGCGAAGGCAGCGUACCGGCGCCAGACUGACGCUGAGGCACGAAAGCGUGGGGAUCGAACAGGAUUAGAUACCCGGGUAGUC
rnacentral:rRNA from 1 species